CCCUUGGGUAGUCCCACGCUGUAAACGUUGGGGUACUUGGUGUAGGCGGGGUAUCGACCCCCUGCUGUGGCCGAAGCUAACGCAUUAAGUACCCCCCGCCUGGGGAUUACGGUCGCCAAGGCUGAAACUCAAAGGAAUUGACGGGGGCCCGCACAAGCGGUGGAGCAUGUGGUUUAAUUCGAUGCAACGCGAAGAACCUUACCUGGGUUUGAACUGCAGGGGACAGCUCUGGAGACAGAGUCUUCCCUUCGGGAUCCCCUGUGGAGGUGCUGCAUGGCUGUCGUCAGCUCGUGUCGUGAGAUGUUGGGUUAAGUCCCGCAACGAGCGCAACCCUUACUCUUAGUUGCCAGCGAUUCGGUCGGGAACUCUAAGGGGACUGCCGGUGAUAAACCGGAGGAAGGUGGGGAUGACGUCAAGUCCUCAUGGCCUUUAUGGCCCAGG
rnacentral:rRNA from 1 species